rnacentral:rRNA from 1 species
CCUACGGGGGGCAGCAGUCGAGAAUCAUUCACAAUGGGGGAAACCCUGAUGGUGCGACGCCGCGUGGGGGAAUGAAGGUCUUCGGAUUGUAAACCCCUGUCAUGUGGGAGCAAAUUAAAAAGAUAGUACCACAAGAGGAAGAGACGGCUAACUCUGUGCCAGCAGCCGCGGUAAUACAGAGGUCUCAAGCGUUGUUCGGAAUCACUGGGCGUAAGGCGUGCGUAGGCUGUUUCGUAAGUCGUGUGUGAAAGGCGCGGGCUCAACCCGCGGGCGGCACAUGAUCCUGCGAGACUAGAGUAAUGGAGGGGGAACCGGAAUUCUCGGUGUAGCAGUGAAAUGCGUAGAUAUCGAGAGGAACACUCGUGGCGAAGGCGGGUUCCUGGACAUUAACUGACGCUGAGGCACGAAGGCCAGGGGAGCGAAAGGGAUUAGAUACCCGGGUAGUC